UGUCAAAUCAUCACGUCCCUUAUGUUUUGGGCAACACACGUACUACAAUGGUCAUGACAGAAAGAAGCGAAACAGCGAUGUGGAGCAAAUCUAGGAAAAAUGGCCUAAGUUCGGAUUGGAGGCUGCAACUCGCCUCCAUGAAGUUGGAAUUGCUAGUAAUCACAGGUCAGCAUACUGUGGUGAAUACGUUCCCGGGCCUU
rnacentral:rRNA from 1 species